GAGGAAUAUUGGUCAAUGGGCGCAAGCCUGAACCAGCCAUCCCGCGUGAAGGAAGAAGGCGCUAUGCGUUGUAAACUUCUUUUCCAGGGGGCGAACGUUCCGUACGUGUACGGGAGUGACGGUACCCUGGGAAUAAGCAUCGGCUAACUCCGUGCCAGCAGCCGCGGUAAUACGGAGGAUGCGAGCGUUAUCCGGAUUUAUUGGGUUUAAAGGGUGCGUAGGCGGAUUAAUAAGUCAGUGGUGAAAACCUGCAGCUUAACUGUGGAACUGCCGUUGAUACUGUUAGUCUUGAGUAUGGUCAAGGUAGGCGGAAUGUGUAAUGUAGCGGUGAAAUGCUUAGAUAUUACACAGAACACCGAUUGCGAAGGCAGCUUACUGGGCCGUUACUGACGCUGAUGCACGAAAGCGUGGGGAUCGAAC
rnacentral:rRNA from 1 species